UACGUAGGGGCCGAGCGUUGUCCGGAGUUAUUGGGCGUAAAGCGCGCGCAGGCGGCCUCGCGCGCCCGACGUGAAAGCCCCCGGCUUAACCGGGGAGGGUCGUUGGGGACGGCGGGGCUUGAGGGCGGGAGAGGUCGGUGGAAUUCCCGGUGUAGUGGUGAAAUGCGUAGAGAUCGGGAGGAACACCUGUGGCGAAGGCGGCUCUCUGGGACGGUACUGACGCUGAGACGCGAAAGCGUGGGGAGCAAACAGG
rnacentral:rRNA from 1 species